rnacentral:rRNA from 1 species
CACCGGCGCCCCGAGUGGCAAUCGCGAUUAUUGGGCCUAAAGCGUCCGUAGCCGGGCAGGUAAAUCCUCUGUGAAAUCGUUGCGCUUAACGUAACGGCGCGCAGGGGACACUGCUUGUCUCGAGACCGGGAGGAGUCAGAGGUAUGCCGUGGGGACUGGUAAAAUGGUAUAAUCCACGGUAGACCACCAAUGGCGAAGGCAUCUGACCAGAACGGAUCUGAUGGUGAGGGACGAAAGCCAGGGGAGCGAACCGG